AGCUUUCUGAAUCCGUGCUGAGAUUUCGUCAGACACCAACCCAUUAGGACUGAUUAGACUUCCAAGAUAAGUGAAGUU
rfam:Schistosoma mansoni strain Puerto Rico chromosome 1, complete genome